AAUACGUUCCCGGACCUUGCACACACCGCCCGUCAAGCCAUGGAAGCUGGGUGUACCUAAAGUCGGUAACCGCAAGGAGCCGCCUAGGGUAAAACUAGUGACUGGGUCU
rnacentral:rRNA from 1 species